UACGUAGGGUGCAGGCGUUAAUCGGAAUUACUGGGCGUAAAGCGUGCGCAGGCGGUCUUUUAAGUCGAUUGUGAAAUCCCCGGGCUUAACCUGGGAACUGCAGUCGAGACUGUCUAGCUAGAGUAUGGGAGAGGGAAGUGGAAUUUCAGGUGUAGCGGUGAAAUGCGUAGAUAUCUGAAGGAACAUCAGUGGCGAAAGCGACUUCCUGGACCAAUACUGACGCUCAUGUGCGAAAGCGUGGGGAGCAAACAGG
rnacentral:rRNA from 1 species